rnacentral:lncRNA from 1 species
CCAAAAAUUCUCAAAUUUUUACACAACCUGCAUAUCUACUGAUAUUAACACCCCAAAUAUUUCCAGAAUUUAUAAAGCACAAAAAGGGUACGAAAAUGCCCCUGCUACGGACUGAUCCAAAAUAGUUCCUAGAAACGGGACUGUUUUCACAUAAAUCAACACCACGACUUUUAGAAACGUGAUUUUUGAGUUCUACCACUUGGGUUAACUAGUAAACACAUAUAUCUAGCACUACUCUUAGACGGAUCGAGAAAAGAAUGUCUAGAUUAAAAACGGUAAACAUUCAAAACACCUAAAAGUUAGGGUUUUCAAAACUAGAAAAAUUAUUUUUCUUUUCUUUUUGAUUCAAACCAAAUCAACACCCAUUAUGGGUAGAUCCAUACUUGAAAUCAUAUAAAUCACAUAGAUCUUAGGGUUUGAACUACCAAAUCAAAAACCCCUAAAUCAAAUCCAUAAACUAAAAUAGAGAAAAACUUAGGAAAAGUAUUUUUAUACCUUUGCUUUUCUUUCUCUCCUUUAAAGAUGUGAUAUGGGUCUUAGGUUUAUGAAAGUUAAAAUCCCCUCUCCCCCUUCUCUUGGAGCUGCCAAAAUGGCCUCUCUCUCUCUCUCUCUCUAUCUUUAGUUCUUUGCUAACUUGGAAGAAUAAAAGAGAUGAAAGAGAAAUGAGAUAGAUUUUUUUUUAUCAAUUAUCCAACCCACUCUCUUUUUCUCUCAUACUCAACCGGCCAUGUGCCUUUCUUCUCUACAUUCUCCACUCAUUCUCUCUCUUAGUAAUCAUUGCAUACAUGUGUGGGAGAUUAAAAGCAAAGUGGCUCCUUAAAAUGGAUGACACCUAGCUAAGUUAUGAAAAAUCUUAUGGAACAUGUGGUGAUUAUAAUGGUGAUGUGUAACCCACCACUUCCUCUCCUUUUCUCCCACAAAAAUUCGGCCAAGUGGCCCAUUAUUUCACCAAGUCUUUCUUCCUUUUUAAUGAAUAUAUAGUGUCUCCAAAGACUAAAAUGCCCCUCCUUACUUGGAUCAAAUUUUGGGCUUUUUUAAAUAAUGUUUGGGCCACCAUAUUUAAUCCCUUUGGACUUUAAGUUGGGCUUGCAAAAUUAAUCUAUUGGACAUAAAGAAUUUAAUUCUUUGGGCCAUGUAAAUCAAUCAUAGUCCAACACUCUUAAUAAUACCAAAUGUCCAUCAUGCCCUUCCUUCAAUUGGGCUCAAAAUUGGGCCAUCACUUAUAAUCUUUUGGGCUUUCCUUUAAUGCUUAAUUGAUUUACUAAUUGUCCAACAUAUCCCUCCCACUUGGGCUAAAAGUUGGGCCACUCAAUUAAUGUAUUGCUUGGGCCUCUAAUCAAUUUCAUUGGGCCAACACUUGGGCUAUAAAAUAUACAUAGUCCAAUACCUUAAAUUCUUAUCCAACCCAAAUAAUUUAAUUAGGGUUUUCUCUUCUCAUUUAAAACACAAAUUCUUACUCAUGCACAUUUAUUUCCUUAACCCAAUUAGACUUGCUGUAAUGAGGUUAUAAAAUUAAUUAAUCGAGAUAUAUAAAAUAAAUCUCUUAGAAUUAGUAUAUAUCUAAAUACUAUUAUUUCCCCCAACUCAUAACUCUUAAGUUAUUCAAUCAUUCAUUCUUAAUAUAUAAUUAGGAUUACAUUAGUUUAUUUUAUUUGUUUAUAUAAUAAUCAAACAAACACAUAAUAUUCAUAUUCAUUACACACAUAACUUUUAAUCCCUUAGGGUUUUAUACAAAACAUUAGGAUUUCUAAUUUAACAAUUAGGGUUAUCCCUAAUAUAUAAUCACUAAUACUUAAGCCAUUAUAUUUAGCCUUUGACUUCCCAAAUUAGGGUUUCAAAUACCGAAUUAGGGUUUCGGAUUCCCGGUACUGAAAUUAGGAUUUCCAGAACCGAUUUCUAGGGUUUCUUAUAAUUCGUAAUAAUUUUAUAACUGAACGUUGACGUUCUAAAUAAUAUUAGGGUUUGACACAGAUAUAAUUUAUCUGGUCAACACUUGACCCUUAACCACAUUCUGUACACAUAAUACCGUAAUCACAGAAC